rnacentral:rRNA from 1 species
GGUUGUAGCUGACUCUCCGGAGUAUGUGCACGCCCGUCACCUUUAUCUUUCCACCUGUGCACACACUGUAGUCCUGGAUACCUCUCGCCGCAAGGCGGAUGCGGAGUUUGCGCAAGCUCACUCUGAAUUUCCAGGUCUAUGAUUUUACAAACCCCAAUUGAAUGUUACAGAAUGUUAUCAUAAGGCCUUGUGCCUAUAAAUUUAUACAACUUUCAGCAACGGAUCUCUUGGCUCUCGCAUCGAUGAAGAACGCAGCGAAAUGCGAUAAGUAAUGUGAAUUGCAGAAUUCAGUGAAUCAUCGAAUCUUUGAACGCACCUUGCGCUCCUUGGUAUUCCGAGGAGCAUGCCUGUUUGAGUGUCAUUAAAUUCUCAACCUCACCAAUUUUGUUAUGAAGUUGUGUGUAGGCUUGGAUGUGGGGGUUGCAGGUCCACUCUGUGGUCUGCUCCUCUGAAAUGUAUUAGUGGGUUUGGCCCCUAAUCUAUUGGUGUGAUAAUUAUCUACGCCGUGGAUUGGAAGGCUGUUACGACCUGCUUCUAACCGUCCUUCACAGGACAACUCUUGACAUUUUUGACCUCAAAUCAGGUAAGACUACCCGCUGAACUUAAGCAUAUCAAUAA